ensembl:lncRNA
ACAUAAUCCCCAACCCUGGGUAGCAAGGGCAGCGGAUAGGGGAUUUCACUAAAGCCGCAGGCUGGCUGCCUGCACCUGCAGGGUGGCGUGGGCUCAGUAGGUGGCGCUCUUGCCCCUCCAUCCUUCAUCCAUUUAUGUACAAGUUUAGUUGGUUGAUUUUUAAUCCGUUGCUUUCAGUCAUGCACACAAACACCCUGCAUGGGCGGCAGCACGAGCUCUGAAAAGCUACACGUGGCCUUUCCAUCUCCCAGCCAGCUGAGGCCCUGCCCUUAUCAGUUGUAGGCUUAAGGGUUUGUUGAGAUAAUUGUUAAGAGCAGAGCUGGGCUUCCCAGGUGGCAAUAAUGGUAAAGAACCUGCCCGCCAAUGCAAGAGACAUGAAACUCAGGCUUGAUCCCUGGGUUAGGAAGAUCCUCUGGAGGAGGGCAUGGCAACCCACUCCAGUGUUCUUGCCUGGAGAAUCCCAUGGACAGAGGAGCCUGGCGGGCUACAGUCCAUGGGGUCGCUCAGAGUUGGACACGAGUGAAGUAACAGCACACACAAGAGAAAGAAGCCAAUCUGAAAAGACUAUAUUCUCUGUGAUCCCAACUCUGUGACGUUCUCGAAAGGCAAAUAUGGACACAGUAAAAAGCCAUGAGCCAAAACUUAAUUUUAUCUCUCGGAACGUUUCAUCAAGCACCUAUAUAUGCCAGGCCCCUCGCCAAGCGCUGGAAACACAAGGUCCAGCUCUGGAGUGUGGAGUCCAGUGAAGAGACAGCGGCACAGAAGGCAGAGGGCUUGUAUCCCUCGCGGGCUGCAGGUGUCAGACGCAGCCCACCUGUGAGGAGUUCAGCGCAGUUUUCAACCCGAUAAGGUGCUUUGCAGCUGUUAGACCUGAACUUUUGAGUCUGUUUAAAGAGCAUCUUGGGCGAGCUUGUUGAGACCUGGAAAGGCCCAGGAGUCAUGGCACCUCCUUGUUCCCCAACCAGGGAUCAAACCGACGCCCCUGCAUUGGAAGCAUGGAGUCUUAACCACAGGACCGUCAGGGAGGUCCCCCAUACAGCUUUUCGCCAAGUAUUUGGCACAGAUGAAAACACAAGGAGGAAUGACACGCGGCCGCCCCAUAAUUGUGGGGCCUUCUCCAGUGGACCAUGAUCUAUUUACUGAGAAUUUUUUAAUAAAUAAACCACAGCCUUGAACCCUUGUGCCCUUAUAAACCAGUUGGUUCUCAUGGGGAGAGUUCAGGAGUUUUUAUGGAGCAAUAGUAUGUUCUCAUGAGAAUUUUAUUAGAAAUCAGAGACUUGAAAUGCAUCAAGCAGGAAAUUUAUGAGGUUACAUGGGAACCAUCCCUUCAUUUUGUCAUUCUGGGUUAAUUUACUUCUUCGUAGUGUGUUGAUUUACUUUGUAAAUUUCAGUCAUGAAUUCUAAGCUUCUCAGCAAAUUUAAGCCUGCUCAUCAAUAUCUUGAACUUCUCCCAUUUUUUAUCCUUAAAAUAAGAUAGCUAAUUAUUGAUAGCCUAUAUAAGAAAGUCCAAACAUCUAUGGGAAGCACAUAUUCCUGGGCAGAAAUGUGUCCAAGCAGGUCUUUCCAAAUGCCAAGGAAUAAACAGAGCUUAGAGAAAAACAUUUUUAUAACCUACAUGCAAUUCUUUAUGUCUUGAACUUUUCCACUUAAUAGUUUCUCCAAAUAAUGUUUUUAAUUGUGUUUUGCAAAGUACCCAGUUAAAAUUUCACUCAUAAAAAAAAAAAAAACAAGCUUGUUUAUUAUCAUGUAACACAACUUGGAAAAUAGCCCAAACCCAGAAUAGAUGUUUGUGUGCUGGUGAAGUGGGGAGGAAGUGUUCUAAACAAGUUUUUCGUCUGGGCCCAUUCCAACAUUUCAUUAAUUGUGUGUUGAUGGUGUGAGGAAAGAGGGCAGGCCAGGACUGGCCUUGGCUGGAGCCAAGAAAGUGAGUGAGGAACCCCAGGAA